UCUGCAACAGUUACAGCUACCCAGGAAAAAAAGAAAAGACGGGCAGUGAAACUGAAUUUAGGAUGGAUGUGUUAUAAACAACACAAAUAUGUGCAAGUGAGGACGCAGAGAGGAGGGGGGACUAGAGUUGUGGAGUUUGUAGAAUCAACGGAUUAUGAAUUGGUCCUUACAAAGGCCAAAGAGCUGUUUUUCCCCGAUGGAUGAGGAUAGUGAUGAUGACUGGGACUUGCCCUCUUUGGACGGCAUUUUGAACAGAACUGAAUCCCUGAUACAGCCGACAGAACAGCAGAAUCCUACAGGUGAACAACACCAGAUCGAACCCUCAAAUGUCA